rnacentral:rRNA from 1 species
GUGCCAGCAGCCGCGGUAAUACAGAGGUGGCAAGCGUUGUUCGGAAUUACUGGGCGUAAAGGGCGCGUAGGCGGCCCGCCAAGUCCCGUGUGAAAGCCCCCGGCUCAACCGGGGAACGGCGCGGGAAACUAGCAGGCUUGAGUUCGGGAGAGGGAAGCGGAAUUCCGGGUGUAGCGGUGAAAUGCGCAGAUAUCCGGAGGAACACCGGUGGCGAAGGCGGCUUCCUGGACCGACACUGACGCUGAGGCGCGAAAGCUAGGGGAGCAAACGGGAUUAGAAACCCCUGUAGUCC